GGGGUUGUAGCUCAGUGGUAGAGUGUUCCUCUCACAUGUGAGAGGCCCUGGAUUCGAUCUUCAGCACCUCA
rfam:Ictidomys tridecemlineatus contig079044, whole genome shotgun sequence.